UACGUAGGGGUCGAGCGUUGUCCGGAAUUAUUGGGCGUAAAGAGCGUGUAGGCGGUCCGGUAAGUCGGCUGUGAAAGUCCAGGGCUCAACCCUGGGAUGCCGGUCGAUACUGCCGGACUAGAGUUCGGAAGAGGCGAGUGGAAUUCCCGGUGUAGCGGUGAAAUGCGCAGAUAUCGGGAGGAACACCUAUGGCGAAGGCAGCUCGCUGGGACGUUACUGACGCUGAGACGCGAAAGCGUGGGGAGCGAACAGG
rnacentral:rRNA from 1 species